rnacentral:ncRNA from 1 species
GUGUGUAUGAAAGGAGAGAAGGCUAGCACUCCCCUUGGCAAGGAUGAAAGAGGCCCUCACACGCAUACAGUUAAGGCAUUGCAACACACUUGUGGCAUCUAACCAUCUUUUUUU